CUUGGCGAUAGUGAAGCGAGUUGGGAUACUGCUGAGCCAUUGUGGUAGUUCCAACCAGUUCCAUAAGAAGGACAUGAUGUAACACCCCCUAACCCUAAAUUGUUGCCGAAUUAGGGUUACAAGGCAUUACCAGACAAUCGAAUAAUUUACAAUUAAUAUUCAAAUAAUUAUCGAAUAUAUUAUAUUAUAUUAUAAAAUAAUUAUAAAGUCCCUUAAUUGGACACUAAAAGCCCAAAAUACGUAUUAGAGGGGAAUCGAGACUUGUUCGAGUGCUCUGAGGAUAUUUUUUUUAAACUCAGUAUAACCCCUUUAUAAAUAUCUAACUUUCUCUGCAAUUUCAAAUCAGGACCAAUCUAAAACCAAUAUUUAAACCAAUGCAAUUUCAUGUUUAAUCGUAUUAAAAUCAUACCUAUAAAAUUAAUUUUAUAAUUUACUCUAUGAACAUUUAUGUUACCAUUAAAUUAGAAUUUCAUUCAUCAUUCUAAAUUUAGCACCAACUAUACCAUGUCUAUCAUAUAAAUUUUCAC
rnacentral:lncRNA from 1 species